rnacentral:rRNA from 1 species
UACGGAGGAUCCGAGCGUUAUCCGGAUUUAUUGGGUUUAAAGGGUGCGUAGGCGGCCUUGUAAGUCAGGGGUGAAAGACGGUAGCUCAACUAUCGCAGUGCCUUUGAUACUGCAGGGCUUGAAUGUACUUGAGGUAGGCGGAAUGUGACAAGUAGCGGUGAAAUGCAUAGAUAUGUCACAGAACACCAAUUGCGAAGGCAGCUUACUAAAGUAUGAUUGACGCUGAGGCACGAAAGCGUGGGGAUCAGACAGG